GACAGGUUUACUUACAGAAACCAUUCAGUCAGGUCUUAGAUUUUGUAGAAUCAAAUCUAAAACUAAAGAAAAUACUCACCCUUUCAGUCCAAAGCAUGAAUAGGUUGAAUACACAUGGCUGAGGUAGUUUUAAGGUAGUGACCAUCAGUACUCCUAGGAGUACAGUGAGAGGCAGAGUCUGUAGUAUUUUUGGAGAAGGCACACAUGGAGUCUAUUACGGUUCUGGCAGCACAGGCAGAAGUAUCAAGGCCAGCUUGUUAACAGCUGCCUCAGGAAGAGCUACACAGCUGUACUGACAGCACUGCAGUGUAGAUACGGAAUGCACACCUGGACUGCACCCAAAAAGCAGCGGGUUGUCCUUUUCCCUUCAAAUAAAGAAUUGUUCCACUUUAAACCUCUUACAGUGGAUCUUUCCACGCCUUUGGUCACAACGAGGUGCAACAGCACUAAAAACAAAGCAGAAAAACAAUGUGGGCCUGAUACUGCUCCCUUCAAGCCUGAUUUUGAUGCAGCUCUGACACUGACUUCAGCUGGGAUACAUCAGUGUGCCUGGAGCUUGAGCAGAGAGUCGGCUGGAGCCUUAAUUGCUGCUCCCCUGCCUGACGUCCAUUGGAGAUGA
rnacentral:lncRNA from 13 species